AUACGAAUGGAGCAAGCGUUGUUCGGAAUCACUGGGCUUAAAGCGUGCGCAGGCGGUUUGUAAAGUCAGAAGUGAAAGCCCUGGGCUCAACCCAGGAACUGCUUUUGAAACUCACAAACUAGAAUCCGGGAGAGGUUAGUAGAAUUCCUAGUGUAGAGGUGAAAUUCGCAGAUAUUAGGAGGAAUACCAGUGGCGAAGGCGACUAACUGGACCGGUAUUGACGCUCAGGUACGAAAGCGUGGGGAGC
rnacentral:rRNA from 1 species